UGACAUUAUUUAAAUACUGCUUUUUAAUCGGGUUAAUAAUAUACAAGAUACUUUACAAUGU
rnacentral:tRNA from 1 species